AGACACUAGGAAGGAACGACUUGUGUGGGUUAUAAGGGUGUGAGGUAUUUGAGGCGCCCACGGGCUGGUUUUCAGAACUUGAGAGAAUGGCUACCACCAUGUGCUGGAGCAAGAUUGUGCGUUCUUCAAGCUUCAUCGUCUUGCUGGUGGUGGCGGUGGCAUUGCCUGUGGCACCAAUAAUCGCCCAUCAAAGUGAUGAACUUAUGAUGUGCGCAAACAUGAGUGAUCCUCGCUGCUUUGUCCCGGCCCUUCCUAGCGGUCGUCAUCGUCCCCCUCAUCAGCCUCCUUGUACAUCAUGUCCAUACGCUGGUGCUUGUCCAUGGUGCCAUGUUUAGAUGAAUGUUUCAGUGGCUGAUCUGGAGAGCCAGCCAGAGUCAAUGCAGAAUAAUCAAACACAUGUUCCUAUAAAAAUAUAGCAAUAACUAUGCUUUUCCAUGAGAGCAACGAAAUUGGUUCCAUAUUGGUCUUUAAUUAAGCUUUAGCUGUGACAAAAAUGUAUUACUUUCCAACACAAUGUGAAUCAUUAUUUGAUAAAAUAAAUUUCACCAUUGUGAAACUCAUUCAAAUCCUA